rnacentral:rRNA from 1 species
GCUAAACGCGAAGAACCUUACCUGGUCUUGACAUGUCCGGAAUUCUGCAGAGAUGCGGAAGUGCCUUCGGGAAUCGGAACACAGGUGCUGCAUGGCUGUCGUCAGCUCGUGUCGUGAGAUGUUGGGUUAAGUCCCGCAACGAGCGCAACCCUUGUCCUUAGUUGCCAGCGAGUAAUGUCGGGAACUCUAAGGAGACUGCCGGUGACAAACCGGAGGAAGGUGGGACGACGUCAAGUCCUCAUGGCCCUUACGGCCAGGGCUACACACGUACUACAAUGGUCGGUACGAGAGGGUUGCCGAAACCGCAAGGUGGAGCCAAUCCCAGAAGCCGAUCCCAGUCCGGAUCGGAGUCUGCAACUCGACUCCGUGAAGUCGGAAUCGCUAGUAAUCGCGGAUCAGCACGCCGCGGUGAAUCCGUU